CAAUAGCGUAUAUUAAAGUUGUUGCAGUUAAAAAGCUCGUAGUUGGAUUUCUGGUGGGAGCGAUCGGUCUGGCGCUUAGCGCGAGUACUUGCAUCGUCUCCGGCCAUCCUUGGGGAGAGUCUGUCUGGCAUUAGGUUGUCGGGCAGAGGAUCCUCAUCGUUUACUGUGAAAAAAUUAGAGUGUUCAAAGCAGGCUUAUGCCGUUGAAUAUAUUAGCAUGGAAUAAUAAGAUAGGACUUUGGUACUAUUUUGUUGGUUUGCGCACCAAAGUAAUGAUUAAUAGGGACAGUUGGGGGUAUUCGUAUUCCGUUGUCAGAGGUGAAAUUCUUUGAUUUACGGAAGACGAACUACUGCGAAAGCAUUUACCAAGGAUGUUUUCAUUAA
rnacentral:rRNA from 1 species